UGGCCCGUAGUGUAAUUGGUAACACAGCAGAUUUUGGUUCUGCUUUUCCUGGUUCGACUCCAGGCGGGCCAGCCA
rnacentral:tRNA from 1 species